UCAAACUUGGUCAUUUAGAGGAAGUAAAAGUCGUAACAAGGUAACCGUAGGUGAACCUGCGGUUGGAUCAUUACUGAUUUCUGCCGAGGUAGGUUGAGUCUUUCGGGACUCCCUAUCAAAGCGAAUACACCACUUGUGCACUAAAAAUGUCUUUUGGGUCAUUUGGGAAAUCAUUUUGAAUGAUUAACCAGGGCCCAGAUUUUUAUAAACCAAUUAAUUUUUUGUCUGAAAUAAAUCUAGUAAUAGAAACAACUUUUGACAACGGAUCUCUUGGCUCUCGCAUCGAUGAAGAACGCAGC
rnacentral:misc_RNA from 1 species